GUAUUUAGUAAUUGGAAUGAGUACAAUUUAAAUCCCUUAACAAGUAACAAUUAGAGGGCAAGUCUGGUGCCAGCAGCCGCGGUAAUUCCAGCUCUAAUAGCGUAUAUUAAUAUUGUUGCAGUUAAAAAGCUCGUAGUUGAAAUUUGGAACUUUAUUAUAUUGGUUUGUCUUUUGAUGAACUAUAUAAUGGGUUUCUUCCUACUAGAGUUCGAUUCUGUUCUUAACUGAAUGGAGUAGCUAUCUCUCGGGGUAGUCAGUUGGUUAUUAUGUCUCCACUAAUAAGCAGAGAGGAGUAAAAUCUUUGAAGUAAGUUAUGUGGGUCAAGAUAUAGUGAUUAAUUGGAGUUCUAGUUCAUUUACUUUGAGAAAAUUAGAGUGUUUAAAGCAGCCUCUUGGGGCACUGAAUACAUUAGCAUGGGAUAAUAAAAUAGGAUCUUCACAAUAUAUUUAUUGGUUUAAAUUGCGUAUGAAGAUAAUGAUUAAUAGGGACAGUUGGGG
rnacentral:rRNA from 1 species